GAUGAACGCUAGCUACAGGCUUAACACAUGCAAGUCGAGGGGCAGCAUGAACAAAGCUUGCUUUGUUUGAUGGCGACCGGCGCACGGGUGCGUAACACGUAUCCAAUCUGCCCGCGGCUCGGGGAUAGCCCAUCGAAAGAUGGAUUAAUACCCGAUGGCGUGGUCACCCCGCAUGGGGUCUCCACUAAAGGUUUUCCGGCCGCGGAUGAGGAUGCGUAUGAUUAGGUAGUAGGCGGGGUAACGGCCCACCUAGCCUUCGAUCAUUAGGGGUUCUGAGAGGAAGGUCCCCCACACUGGAACUGAGACAGGGUCCAGACUCCUACGGGAGGCAGCAGUGAGGAAUAUUGGUCAAUGGGCGAGAGCCUGAACCAGCCAAGUAGCGUGAAGGAAGACUGCCCUAUGGGUUGUAAACUUCUUUUGUUCGGGAAUAAAGUGCAGUAUGUAUACUGUUUUGUAUGUACCGUUCGAAUAAGCAUCGGCUAAUUCCGUGCCAGCAGCCGCCGUAAGAC
rnacentral:rRNA from 1 species